UAUUAUUAUAUUUUCGACAACCAGCUCAUGAUGUGGAGAAAAGUAACUGGAGGAGAUAUCUUAGCCGUAGGAUUAAAAGAGAGACGCUUCAAAAUGCCUAACUUUACUACGUAGUGUACAGCAGUUCAUAUACAUCACAGUGGCAAAGCCAAGAUUGUGUGUUUAUUAUCUUCAGGAACAAGGACACCGGUUGCGAAUUCCGCGUACCCACUAUUGCUACCACUCUACGUCAAUGCAUACAGUAUGCAGAUGAAAUGAAUUAAUGUUUUAUAUCUGCCCAGUGCCCAUUGGAAACAACUAGAACGCCUCAUUCGCAGCGAAUCGUACUACUUGAAGAGAGUGUUUAGAUCCCAAAACCAUUCACAAAGCAACCCGGUAUAUGGUAAUGUUAACCAUCAAAGAAGGAAACUUACGAGUGAAUCAAUUGCUGGUCGAAAAAUGUUUAUAAAAUAGACACCCUGACAAGUUGUGCUAAGCACACAGGCUACAGAAUGCCCACCUUUUUGACCGUAAUGCUGUUGAAGAAGUCGAAAGCUGAUGCGACUACUAAAACAAGAAACGAAAUCACAACGGAAUUCAGAAGACUACAAA